rnacentral:rRNA from 1 species
CAGCAGCCGCGGUAAAACGAGGGGGGCAAGCGUUGUUCGGAAUUAUUGGGCGUAAAGGGUGCGUAGGCGGUUUGGCAAGUCUUAUGUGAAAUCUUCGGGCUCAACCCGAAGUCUGCAUGAGAAACUGCCGGGCUUGAGUAUGGGAGAGGUGAGUGGAAUUUCCGGUGUAGCGGUGAAAUGCGUAGAUAUCGGAAGGAACACCUGUGGCGAAAGCGGCUCACUGGACCAUAACUGACGCUGAGGCACGAAAGCUAGGGGAGCAAACAGGAUUAGAUACCCCCGUAGUCCCUGUCUCUUAUAC